CAAGAAAGGAUGCAUAGAAAUGUGGUUGAGAGGCUACUGGCAGUUAUCCAUGUGUGAAAUGACAGUUUGGGGACCAUGGCGGAGUGACUAAUUACACCAAAUUUGCAUAGGAAAGCGUGCACAAAUUCCACCAUUGACCCUACUUUCAUCUGACUGAUCUCAUUCUUAUCUGAACAAGGGAGAUUACCAAACUUGAAGACUUCAAGGAGGAGGUGACAUUUGAAGUGGGCAUUGAAUUAUGAGAAAAGGCCUGCUGUACCAACUCUACCCUGAGGGAAGUGUGCCAAGGCUCAAGUGUCCCAUAAAUUGGGGGAAGGGAAGCAAAUCACCAGGAAAAAAGUCUCAUGGUCAGUAUCAGCACAUCUUUCCACAUCUUGGAAAGAAUGUAAGAACUCUGCCUAAGAAAAGGACAAGAGGAUGAGAGACCCAGAAAGAUUGGAGAGCACACAGGGAGAUGUGAUGGAUCAGGAAAUACUUGGAGAGAGGUUUCUGCAGAUGUGAGUAACAGAGGUUUUGUGGUUACAUCACAGGCAAACCUAUGACCAGAUAUUCCUUUUCUUGGCACAAGAGAGACAGCAUAGCAGU
rnacentral:lncRNA from 1 species